rnacentral:rRNA from 1 species
UACGAGUGCCUCAAGCGUUAUCCGGAAUUAUUGGGCGUAAAGGGUGUGUAGGCGGUCUUGUUAGUCUUUUUGUUAAAUUUCCCCGGCUUAACCGGGAAUCUGCAGGGGAAACGGCAAGACUCGAGGAUGCGAGAGGUGAAUGGAACUCAUAGUGUAGGGGUGAAAUCCGUUGAUAUUAUGGGGGAACACCAAAAGCGAAGGCAAUUCACUGGCGCACUCCUGACGCUGAAACACGAAAGCAUGGGUAGCGAAUGGG